rnacentral:tRNA from 1 species
GAGUGUGUAGCUCAGUGGUAGAGUGUGUGCUUAGCAUGCACGAGGUCUUGGGUUCAAUCCCCAGUGCCUCU